rnacentral:rRNA from 1 species
GUUGUUGGGUAGGGGAGCGUUCUGUAAGCCGUUGAAGGUGUGCUGUGAGGCAUGCUGGAGGUAUCAGAAGUGCGAAUGCUGACAUAAGUAACGAUAAAGCGGGUGAAAAGCCCGCUCGCCGGAAGACCAAGGGUUCCUGUCCAACGUUAAUCGGGGCAGGGUGAGUCGACCCCUAAGGCGAGGCCGAAAGGCGUAGUCGAUGGGAAACAGGUUAAUAUUCCUGUACUUGGUGUUACUGCGAAGGGGGGACGGAGAAGGCUAUGUUAGCCGGGCGACGGUUGUCCCGGUUUAAGCAUGUAGGCGGAGGUUCCAGGUAAAUCCGGUACCUUUUAACGCUGAGGUGUGAUGACGAGGCACUACGGUGCUGAAGUAACAAAUGCCCUGCUUCCAGGAAAAGCCUCUAAGCAUCAGGUAACAUCAAAUCGUACCCCAAACCGACACAGGUGGUCAGGUAGAGAAUACCAAGGCGCUUGAGAGAACUCGGGUGAAGGAACUAGGCAAAAUGGUGCCGUAACUUCGGGAGAAGGCACGCUGAUAUGUAGGUGAAGCCCCUGCGGGUGGAGCUGAAAUCAGUCGAAGAUACCAGCUGGCUGCAACUGUUUAUUAAAAACACAGCACUGUGCAAACACGAAAGUGGACGUAUACGGUGUGACGCCUGCCCGGUGCCGGAAGGUUAAUUGAUGGGGUUAGCGGUAACGCGAAGCUCUUGAUCGAAGCCCCGGUAAACGGCGGCCGUAACUAUAACGGUCCUAAGGUAGCGAAAUUCCUUGUCGGGUAAGUUCCGACCUGCACGAAUGGCGUAAUGAUGGCCAGGCUGUCUCCACCCGAGACUCAGUGAAAUUGAACUCGCUGUGAAGAUGCAGUGUACCCGCGGCAAGACGGAAAGACCCCGUGAACCUUUACUAUAGCUUGACACUGAACACUGGUCCUUGAUGUGUAGGAUAGGUGGGAGGCUUUGAAGUGUGGACGCCAGUCUGCAUGGAGCCGUCCUUGAAAUACCACCCUUUAAUGGCUGGUGUUCUAACGUAGACCCGUGAUCCGGGUUGCGGACAGUGUCUGGUGGGUAGUUUGACUGGGGCGGUCUCCUCCCAAAGAGUAACGGAGGAGCACGAAGGUUAGCUAAUCCUGGUCGGACAUCAGGAGGUUAGUGCAAUGGCAUAAGCUAGCUUGACUGCGAGAGUGACGGCUCGAGCAGGUGCGAAAGCAGGUCAUAGUGAUCCGGUGGUUCUGAAUGGAAGGGCCAUCGCUCAACGGAUAAAAGGUACUCCGGGGAUAACAGGCUGAUACCGCCCAAGAGUUCAUAUCGACGGCGGUGUUUGGCACCUCGAUGUCGGCUCAUCACAUCCUGGGGCUGAAGUAGGUCCCAAGGGUAUGGCUGUUCGCCAUUUAAAGUGGUACGCGAGCUGGGUUUAGAACGUCGUGAGACAGUUCGGUCCCUAUCUGCCGUGGGCGCUGGAGAAUUGAGGGGGGCUGCUCCUAGUACGAGAGGACCGGAGUGGACGCAUCACUGGUGUUCGGGUUGUCAUGCCAAUGGCACUGCCCGGUAGCUAAAUGCGGAAAAGAUAAGUGCUGAAAGCAUCUAAGCACGAAACUUGCCCCGAGAUGAGUUCUCCCUGAGACUUUAAGUCUCCUGAAGGAACGUUGAAGACGACGACGUUGAUAGGUCGGGUGUGUAAGCGCAGCGAUGCGUUGAGCUAACCGAUACUAAUGAACCGUGAGGCUUAACCUU